CUCUCUCUCUCUCUCUCUCUCUCUCUCUCUCUCUCAACCCUAAUUAUUUCAAAAUCAAGGUUACUGAAGACUAAGGUUUUUGGAUGUGAGAUUGUUCGGAUCUGUCAUGGUCGAUCUUCCAAGCGACGCAGCGGCAGCAGCCAGGGCUUCUCCCUGGCAGCGCUGAACAAUGGUAGUACGGAUGUGCCGAAGCUGACGGUGUCGGGAUCGUUCAAGGGGUCAAGGAGGUGGACAUCGGUCCAGCCGAGCCUCGACGUGGAUGAGUUCAUAAAUUUGCUGCACAAGUCGGAUCCGGUCAAGGUGGAGUUGAAUCAAUUGGAUAAUGAAGUCAGAGAUAAGGAUUGGGAGUUGGGGGAAGUGCAGGUGGAGAUCAAGGCAUUGAGGUUAUCAGAACGUUUGAGAGAGAAGGGGGUCGAAGAGGUAUUAAUUUUAAUUUAUUUAUUUUGGGAUUUUCUAUAUUUGGCUAUCAGGCGUUUUAUUUUGAUUUAAAAUCUGGUUUCAAUUUUAGAUUUAUAUGUAAUAGUGUAUUACAUUGUGUUUUUGGAUUUUCGGUAAUUGGCAUUUUUUAAAUUUUUUUCUUUUUUUAUACGAGGUUUGCCAUCUCGUGCACAAUAUGAAAGGCGGAUGUUAAUGCAGCAGCAAUUAAAAUAAUCAUGGCUGGAGCUGGGUGUGAAAAUGGUAGUAAAGUCGAAGAACUCUCAUCCUUGGAGAUGGACUCUAUAACUUCAUCAAAGUACUGUCUUUCACCAUCAGAAGCUUCCAUGGUAGAUUGAAAUGGAAGGACCCUUAGAACAAGUAAAAAACCAUGACAAGGGUUCGAA